UAAGCGGAGGAAAAGAAACUAACAAGGAUUCCCCUAGUAGCGGCGAGCGAAGCGGGAAGAGCUCAAAUUUAUAAUCUGGCACCUUCGGUGUCCGAGUUGUAAUCUCUAGAAAUGUUUUCCGCGUUGGACCGCACACAAGUCUGUUGGAAUACAGCGGCAUAGUGGUGAGACCCCCGUAUAUGGUGCGGACGCCCAGCGCUUUGUGAUACAUUUUCGAAGAGUCGAGUUGUUUGGGAAUGCAGCUCAAAUUGGGUGGUAAAUUCCAUCUAAAGCUAAAUAUUGGCGAGAGACCGAUAGCGAACAAGUACCGUGAGGGAAAGAUGAAAAGCACUUUGGAAAGAGAGUUAACAGUACGUGAAAUUGUUGGAAGGGAAACGCUUGAAGUCAGACUUGCUUGCUGAGCAAUCGGUUUGCAGGCCAGCAUCAGUUUUCCGGGAUGGAUAAUGGUAGAGAGAAGGUAGCAGUUUCGGCUGUGUUAUAGCUCUCUGCUGGAUACAUCUUGGGGGACUGAGGAACGCAGUGUGC
rnacentral:rRNA from 1 species